AGAAGAGAGAGAGAGAGAGAGAGAGAGAGAGAGAGAGAGAGAGAGAGAGAGAGAGAGAGAGAGAGAGAGAGAGAGAGAGAGAGAGAGAGAGAGAGAGAGAGAGAGAGAGAGAGAGAGAGAGAGAGAUAUGCAGCGAAGAGAGAGAGAGAUCUACAGGCCCGGUGAGUAAUUAUACAAAGAGACAGCGAACGAGAGACCGAUAUUACCUGAAGUGAUGGUGAAGGAGGUGAAGGAUGAGGAGAAGGAGGACUAAGGAGGAGGAGGAGGAGGAGGAAGAGGAGAUGGAAUGAUACUUUUUUCUACACCAACGAAAUUAGCUCAAGGGCAAACACAAAUAAACGAUAAAGAACACAAAAAAGCCCUUUAAACUCUACUCCAGCAUAAGAAGAUAGAAUGAGUGCCCAGAGGAGAGGUCGAGUGGAUAGGAGAAAGAUAGUGAAAAAGAUAUAUUUGAAUUCCUCUCUAUCAUUGUGUAUUAUCUGUAAAGAGGGUUAGAACAAGAGGAAAGGUACUGAGAAAAGACAUGUUUGAACUCUUGUCUAUCACUUUUAAUUGUAAGUUGUGAUAAAGAGGAUCAGAAUAAGAGGAAACAAGAGGAAAGGUACUGAGAAAAGACAUGUUUAAGUCCUGUCUAUCAUUUAUAUUUGUAAGUUGUGAUAAAGAGGAUCAGAAUAAGAGGAAACAAGAGGAAAAGCACUGAGAAAAGACAUGUUUGAAAUACUCUCUAUCAUUUCUAUUUGUAAGUUGUAAUAAAGAGGAUCAGAACAAGAGGAAACAAGAGGAAAAGUACUGAGAAAAGACAUGUUUGAACUCCUCUCUAUCAUUUUUAUUUGUAAGUUGUGACAAAGAGGGUCAGAAUAAGAGGAAACAAGAGGAAAAGUACUGAGAAAAGACAUGUUUAAGUCCUGUCUAUCAUUUCUAUUUGUAAGUUGUAAUAAAGAGGAUCAGAACAAGAGGAAACAAGAGGAAAAGUACUGAGAAAAGACAUGUUUAAGUCCUGUCUAUCAUUUAUAUUUGUAAGUUGUGAUAAACAGGAUCAGAACAAGACAAGGAAAGACGAAAAGUGAAGAAACAAAAGACAUACUUCAAUUCCUCUGUAUCAUCAUGUAUUAUCUGUUAGCAGUGACGGAGAAGAGAAGGUCAGAGCGAGAGGUGAAGCUUACGAGAAGACAACGUGUAUUCCUCCUCCGCAUGUAAUAAUCCCUUUGGUUGUAUUGAAAUCCCUUCAUUGGCGGCUCUCAGAAAGGAGUCAACCCUUCUUUUAUUGUCUACAUUUAAUAUUACAUCCCAUAGCGUUAACGUCUGUGUGUGUGUGUGUGUGUGUGUGUGUGUGUGUGUGUGUGUGUGUGUGUGUGUGCGUACGUCACCAUAGGGGGCCCCACUCCCCCUAAAUAUAACCCCUCCCUCUAUUUUACCCUUCAAGGCAUACCACUUACAGAUCACUAUGUUAAGUACCUCUCUCUGCGGCCACAGCCCCCGCUACCCCCGCCGAUAGGAACAUACAGACACACACACCCACGAGCCUUCCCCAGUGCCCUUCCUUUAGUCAGCGGCGGGCGGGGCGGCGGGGGGGCAAGGGGUGUAGAGGGAGCGUAUGAGUCGGGCCUAAAGUUAGUGUAUUUUCACAUGUUAUCGUAUAUAUGUUGUUUCCGUCUGGCUGAGGUUGGGGAGCACGCCCUCUCCGCGCCUCCGCCCAGCCCCCAGCGCGUGGCACACUGUUUUAUACGUGUCAUGUCUCAUCUUGAACGUCACCUGAAAAUAAAUUUAUAACAAAA